CUGAUGAAAAGUAUUUGAUGUAAGAAAAAUAAUUCAUCCAUUAAUCAAUCCAGUCUCUCCAAUUCUUUCUUUCCUUCUCCGAAAACAUCUUUAAGUCCUAUAUGGGCGUCUUGAAUAAUUCAUAUUUUUUGCAAAAGGAAUUGAAAAUGUCAAUAUUUAUACGUACAAAUUAUAUGUUCGAUAUAGUAUGCACCAUUCUAUUUAAUACAUUUACAAGCCCUUCGGGUAAUUACAAAGUGGAGAACAUUGCACAAAUUGUGAGGCGGUAAAGAUCGGAUGCAGGUAGUAAAAAGAGAUAAAUGAAAAGGAUGAUGGCUUGCCUGAUUUCCAAUACAGUAUGUAUAUAAAUAUCUGAAAUUACUGUUUUUUUAAAUAACAAACAAAAGAUAUGAAAUAGAGUUUUUUGAAAUACAAUUACAGAAUCUAUUUAAAAAAAAAGGUUCUACAAAUAUUGAACAAAAAUAACGAAUACAAUACUACUAUAGUAAAGGAAACUUCAAACGUACCAAGACGAGAAAUGAUUCAAUUUGGACAUGACAAAUGUUUGAGAAUCAAUCACCCACUAAUCGGAAAUAUGUAUCACUGUUUUCCCUCAACACUUCUGAUAAAAAGACCGCGUAUAUCUAAAACCAUGACAACCAAGCUACUACGUACAUAUAUACUCUAUGCGUUUUACAAAAAAAAAGAA
rnacentral:lncRNA from 1 species